rnacentral:SRP_RNA from 1 species
GGGCAGGCUAGGCCGGGAGUUUAGCCCUCUCCUGUAACCCCCAACGGGCUUCAGCGGGGGCCGAAGCUUUGCAGGCGACGCACGCCAGAGGCAGGGUCUUGGCUUGGACAAUGACAUUCUGUCCUGGUGGAUUAUUGUUCGCGGGAAAGGUGUCAGGUCAGGAAUGAAGCAGCACUAACCGCUUACGAUGAUGCUAUCAGGGUAGCGGAAUUGAGGAAUAGUCAGGGUUAACCUUGUUUGUGGUUUGCGUCCACUGCUAGCGCGCCUGCCC